GACGAACGCUGGCGGCGUGCCUAAUACAUGCAAGUCGAACGCAGUGGGGACGGGUGAGUAACACGUUGGUAACCUCCCAUCAGAGGGGAUAACACUUGGUAACAGGUGCUAAACCGAUACUGCUGGAUGGACCCGCGGUGCCUUAGCUAGUUGGGGAGGUAAAGGCUAACCAAGGCGACGAUGCGUAGCUGACCUGAGAGGGUGAUCGGCCACACUGGGACUGAGACACGGCCCAGACUCCUACGGGAGGCAGCAGUAGGGAAUAUUAGGCAAUGGACGAAAGUCUGACCGAGCAAUGCCGCGUGAGUGAAGAAGGUCUUCGGAUCGUAAAGCACUGUUGGUAGGGAAGCGGUAUCUACCCAGAAAGCAACGGCUAACUACGUGCCAGCCGCCGCGGUAAUAC
rnacentral:rRNA from 1 species